CCGGUUCUCGUUAGAUCACCGAAGUGAAGCAUCAUUGGGCGCGGUCAGUACUUGGGUGGGUGACCACCUG